AUCUACGGCCACAGAAUCCAUAAAGCAUCGCAUCCCGUCAGCUCUACGAAAUUAAGGUGGAUGUCGCUCGGGUAGUACCAAGUUGGGGGACCACUUGGGAAUACCGGGUGCCGUACUUU
rfam:Cryptococcus bestiolae CBS 10118 unplaced genomic scaffold supercont1.2, whole genome shotgun sequence.